UGGCGGAGUAUUUUUUCCAGAGUUAAUAUUUUUUUCCUCCAAAAGAGUUGUUUUUGCUCCGUUUUGAGUAAACAAAGUAAAAUGUGUUAGUAGAGUGGGAGCAAAAUUACAGAGUAACUGUAACAGAGUUAAAUGUUUCACUCCUAAUUUCCGUUUAUCUGCCAUUGCUGUAUAUAAUGUUAAAAGACUAACAAUAAAGAUUAAUGACACGCCUGCAUAUAUUUCUAUUGUGAAAAUAAAUAAACAACAUCUCAAAAAAUAUCAUUUAGUAACAAAUUUGAAUCAAACUAAUUAGAAAAACGAACACCUUAAAGUACAUAAACAUAAUAAAAAACUAAAGUAACUGAAACCAUCUUUGGGGGAAAUAUCUGCAAUUAGAUUUGUAAGUUUGGUUCACGUAGCAUUUGCAUACAUAGAGUUUGCGGGCUUUAUGACCUACACGGCACCCAGCCACCAGAGGGCGAUAGAAAUAUUGGCUUCACUCACCGUGGCUCCCUUUGGUAACGGCCAUAUCGAUCACUGCUGGUUAAGAAGACAAGCUGCUUUUCUGCUGGAUGGUGAAGAUUCAAACCAACAACGUUGUCAGAGUAAAGUUCAAAGACAGCAAGAAAUAUAUUUUCUCUUCACAACCAUUUACAUUUCACACAUUUUUGGAAUGUGUUGCCAAGAAGUUUAAUCUUCCUACAAUGAAUGUCUUUGAUGACUCAAAGACAGAGGUUGAUGAGGAAUAAUAUCUGCUGACACGACCAGACUUUGGUGUCCUAGAAAUCUUCAUCCCAGAAAGCACAACAAGCCUUGAUGGGCACGUCAGACUCUGAUGGGACCGCAGUGUUGAUUAGAAA